rnacentral:rRNA from 1 species
AAACUGAAGAGUUUGAUCCUGGCUCAGAUUGAACGCUGGCGGCAUGCCUUACACAUGCAAGUCGAACGGCAGCACGGGAGCAAUCCUGGUGGCGAGUGGCGAACGGGUGAGUAAUA